rnacentral:lncRNA from 1 species
GGGGUCAGAGUUUGAGUUCGAGAAUGGUACUGUUAAGCCAUGGGAAGGCGAAAUGAUUCAUGAAGUUGGUGUAGAGGAUCUUGAGCUCACUCUCGGUGGCACUAAGACAAGAUGCUAAAGAACCUUGAUCAUAACAGAGCAUUGUACAGGAGAGCUCGUGUGGCCCAAAGCCUAAGGGUCGAACCUUUUAAUUACCGUUACAUUCUCUCAGUUUAUACUUCAAUGUUUUACUUCUAUGGUGAUAAUGUUAUUGGAGGUAUUAAUGUGUGUUUAGUCACAUGAUUAAGAAAUGUUUUUUGGAGAUAAUGUUAUUGUUUUGCUGAUUUUAAUUGUUUUCUUUUUAUGAGAUAUUGUGAUUAGUUUUAGAGUUUGUUGUGUUGUGGACCUUGUGGGUGUGUUGAAUAAAACGAAACCUCCACGAGCGNNNNNNNNNNNNNNNNNNNNNNNNNNNNNNNNNNNNNNNNNNNNNNNNNNNNNNNNNNNNNNNNNNNNNNNNNNNNNNNNNNNNNNNNNNNNNNNNNNNNUCUGAAGAUCCUUUGAACCAUGACGCAGCACAAGUCUUAAGGGACAACCCAAAGCUCUUUGAGACCAAUGUCAGGAGAGCCAUGACCGGUGGCUAUGUUGGUCAGACCUUUUUCCCUCGCUGUAUCUAACAAAAGCCUGGGUUCGUUCUUCUUCAAGCAACAAGAUAAGAACUGGAACCUCUUUAUCAACCAUUGUAUCUCUUAUUCUCAAAAGAACCUUGUUUGCUUGUUUCUGUAAAAUUACAUUCGAAUGAGUUGUAUAACAUUCUGUUCAGUUUGAUUCGGUCUCAGUUUCAAUGUUUUUAUGCUGUGGUAUUUGAAAGAAUCAAAAAACAUAAGCAAAACUCUCAUAUCAUUUCAACGUCUUUAGAACUGGCCAUUUUCGCGUUCUCUCUAUCUUUCUUGAAAACGAAAUGCAAAGGCGUGUAAGAGAGACAACAGAGGCCAAAGGGGACAGCCAUCAUCGACAAAAGCCCCUUGGAGAGAGCCUCAGCUUCACGCACAGAGGAGCCUUUCAAAGGAUCAAUACCUUUUGAGUCAUACCCAAACAUCUUCUCAGACAAGAUCCCAACCAAAGGUGCAGCGAACGAGGAGAAAGAGCCUUCAAAAGCCCGGUCAAACGCGUAGAUCAUGGUCCGGUGCUUAGGUGGGACGACUUCAGCGAACAUGGGUGCGUUAACAGCUGAACNNNNNNNNNNNNNNNNNNNNNNNNNNNNNNNNNNNNNNNNNNNNNNNNNNNNNNNNNNUGAACCGCACCAGCUUAUGGUGAGACCCAUCAAGAAGAGAGUGAUGGAGAAAGUCAAGUAGCUUUCUCUGCUCUGUGGGAUUCCUUUCAGAAGGAUAAUUGAGAAUGGGAUCCCCAUGAAGGCGCUGAACUGCGCACACAUCACUCUACCGGAGUUCGGAAAGAUCCUAGACAUUUUGUCAGCAAUGAUGCCUCCCAUCAACGUUCCUAUAGCGCAUCCGGUCGCAAACACCCCAAGCAAAGCUGCUGUCUGGUUAUGAUCAAAACCUAAAACAAAACAAACAGUAAGCUUCAAAGACUACAGUUCUUGACAGAUGAUGAGGCUUACCAAUAAGCUCAAACCACAUUGUGAAGAAAACCAUUGCAGUCCAAGGCAAUGAACCAACGAUUCCUUGCAAGACAAUGAUCUGAAACGUCCUUACUUUCACCACUGACUUUGUAGCUGCCCAUGAGUCAUUCCAAACCGAUAUCUUUUGAACCAUUAGUUCCUCUCUACACAGUUACAACCAAAAGAUCAGUUAUGCUCUCAAGAAGGAAGUUCACUAGUUUGAGGAGGUUCUGUUUUACCGUUCAAUGUGCUUCCUGGGGUCAACCACGAAGAGAAAAACUAGUAACCCAAUCACAGCACUAAGAGUUGCCAUCAUGAUGAAAGCGCAACGCCAUCCCGGUACGCCCCAGAACUCAGAACCGGCCAUAACCGUUGCUACAACACCUCCUCCAAUACCACCAAUAGUACCAAUGAGAUUCAACAAGCCAAAACCAGCUCCUCUAGUACCAUCCUUGUAGCUAUCUGCUAUAAACGACUGAAGCGCCGGUAUCACAAUAGCUAACCCAAACCCAUUCACUGCUCUCCAUAAAGCAACCUUUAUCACAUUAAUAUAAACCAUUACACACAAAACUUAACACAACUUCAAAGAACCAUAAAACAAAACUUCUAAACAACUUUAUCACUAAAAAAAUUCAUGAUUCUUUUCUCUUAUCAGGCUUUAAAACUUAAUACUACUUUAAAGAACCGUUAAAUAAAACUUUAUAAGAAUCUUUAAAUAACGGAUUUAAGACAUUUUUUUACCUGAAUGAAGUAGUUGCUAGCUCCAACAGCAGCAGUAGAUAAAGCCCAACAGAGAGUACCUAUCGCAAGAACAAUGGGACGGUCAUAGGUAAUGACUAGAACUCCUGCUAACGGCGACGCGAGUCCUUGAACAAAGUUCCUAACGAAUGUUAAGUAUCCUAAAUCUGACGGUCCUGCGUUAAACGCUUCGCUCACUUCUUUGUAAACCGAAGGCAGUAGAUUCUCGUCUGCUCGCUCCAUGAUCGCAGCUAGGUUUAUCAGGAUAAGUGAUAUCGAAACUCCUAAAAACUUUCCUGUUCUGUAAUGAAAAAAAAAAAAAAAAAAAAAAGUUGGAAACUUUCAAACUCUUGCAAGAUUCGGACAGAGAGACAAUGAAACAGUUACAUCAUCCAAUCGAUGAAACAGAUCUACGAGACAAGAACAGUAAAAGUAUAAAUCGAAGAAGUCAAAAAAGGAGCUAACUUUAUCUUCAUGUUGUUAGUACGGAGGUUGCGAGGAAAAAGAGACCGGAAGAAUCCUAAAGCGGUGGAGAGGUAACCGGAACGAGUUCGAGCACGACCCAUCUAAAAAAAAUCAAAACUUGAACUCCAGUUUAACCGGAGAUGAAGUUUGGUUGGCUUCUGUAAUAUCGGAUCUUUAAAAUUUAAGACACAAGUCGUUUUUUUGGAUAUUACGUAUUGAAUGGUUUUUGUUUUUUUGUUAGAUUAUAGUUUUAAAAAUUUAUUACUAUAGAUUUUAAUUUUCAAUGAUAGUACUGAUCAUGGAUUGUAAUUAAAGGAUUAUUUUUUACUAAUAAAACAGAUUUGUUUUUUUAUCAACACUAAUAAAAAAGAUUAUCAGUUUUAUUUGGCACGUAAUGGUAGUUGAGUGGGUGGAUCGUUACAGGGAGGAACAUGCUUACAUGAAUAUGUACUAUUUUUCGGAUGUCAAUAGAUUGUGACGUUAUACUAUUCAGAAAAAUAGAUUAUGAAGUCAAUAGAAAAAAAAAAGCUCAUGGGAAAGAAAUACACAACACUCGUUUUGAGUUUUAUGAUGACGGAUGCUGACGAAUGAGGAGGUGCGGAAACUUCUUUUGUGAACGUAUGUAUAUCAACAUAGUGGUCACGGGAGUCAGCUCUUAUCAUGAAGGGGCAAGUGAAUGAGAGCCCUCUUACUUUUCUUAUAUCACUUGACUAUAUCAUAUUUUUAAAAAGAGGUUAAAUAUCUUCAAGUAACUUCAAACCCCAAGUGCUAACCGAGUUAGUUUCAAGCCCAAGUGCUGGGAAUGUAACUCUCCAAUCUACCAUGAUUCUAACAUAUGGUUGGUCCAUUCAAAGAAGACCUCGAGAUUUGUUCCAAAAGACCGUGUUUUUACUGCGUGAUCUGGUUGCUAUGAAGAUGUAAAAUUUGGUAUUAUGUUGGGAAAUGUUUUUCUGGUGUCUGAUGUCAUGACGCUGGUUUAAGCAUUCGAGUGCCAAACAAUAAAACGUUCUAAAAUAUGAAAGUCCAAAUAUGAGAUCACAUGUCUGACUUCUCUAUACCGAGACCUCUGAAAUAAACAAUGCACAGCCACAUCAAUGAGGUUCAAAAGGUACUGGAAGAAAAUUUCAUUGAUAAAAUGUACUAUCACAUCAGUUUGAAAUAUUGUUUGCCUUCAUUACAAAAUAGAUAUAUCAUAUUGACACCUAACAAGGCAUUUUCACAAUUAUGCAAUGAUAAUUAAUAUACAGAAAUGGAGGAAUUCAAUUUUGUUUUGUAAAGUUAGAAUAAGAAACCGAAAUAUUUUACCAGCGUACAAAUAAUUAAAACGCAAAAUCACACCGAAUUGACCGAUGCAUUGAACAAUAACAGUGAGAAUAGCUGGUUUGUGACUAUGGACGCCGCACGAUUAAAUGAAUUAAUCAAAUUUAAAUCAAAGUAGAUUAAUUGUACAUGACCACGCCGUACCAUUUGAAACUUUGUUAAUAUUCCCCACGUGAAUGAUUUGAUCCAAAGUCACUGACAGAUUGGAUCUUUUUGGCAUCACCAAUUAUUGUAUUUUUCUUUAGAAACUUUUUAUUUCUUGGUUUGUGAACAUGAAUGAUAAGACGUGGUUGAAUAUGAUAAACACAAUAUAAAACACCACACAAAAUUGUCUCAUUUAAUUGGCAAGCAGUAACAAAUGUUAUAUAUAUAACAUAAGAUUGUGAAAAAUUCAAUCGGUGAGUAUAUAUAAUUUUUUAAUACCAGGAAAAUAGUAGAAUUGUUUGAUUAAUAAUUAGUUAGCUGUAAAUAAUAGCAUGAAUCCAGCUGGGGAUUCUGCUUCCUGUCUUUGCUCACGCCUCACUGGAGCCGCACGUGCUCCGACCACGAUGCCAAAUUGUGUUUUACUUGUAUACUUUUCUCAUUUUUAUGCUUAAAAUAUUUCGUUUUCUGUUGUAAAAAAAAAGAAAAAUAUAUAGUUUUCCUAAUUACACUGAUACAUUUAUAAUGACAUCAAAUUUAUCGUUUUUGAUGCAUCUUGAUGACUUGAAAUCUUCAUUAAACAUCUUGUAAGUCAUUUUAUUAAAUUAAAUAUGACCGUUUUGCUAUUAAUAAAAUUUACAACCUAAGAGAAAAUGGAAAAAUAAAAUAAUAGUAUCAUCAAUAUCUUCGCUUAGACAACUCGGAAAAGUCAUACAAAUGUAUUCGUAAAAGGAAAAUUCUUUCACAAGACGACAACAUGAAACUCUGUCGUCAUUUUAAAAUUUGUGAAAACAAUGCAAAUUAUCACUAGAAUAUACUACAGUUUAACCUUUUUCACACCUCUUUCUAAAAAUUACUAGUAUAAGUUUAUAUACCACUUGAUCAAAAAAAAAAAAGAAGUUUAUAUACCACUAUAAAAUAAUUAAAAUGCACAAGAGGGAAAAAAAGAAAGAAAAAAAGAUACCAAUUCAUUGAAUAGUGAAAAGGAAACCAGUAGGGGACCACAGCUCGUGCGUUACAUUAAUUAGACACGUGGAAGCUGACUUCCAUAAGCGGUCCCACAGUUAGACACGGAUCGCACGUGCGGAGACAAACAAAAAAAAAAUUAAAUUUUUAUUUAUAAAACCAGAGACGAUGAAAGCCAAUCCGCUUGAGAGUCACCAAAGAAACUCUCUCUCUCUCUCUCGUCUCCCUCGUGCGCCAGACUGACAAAGACAUCAGAAAGAUAAAGAAAGAUCAAAGCUUUUCUAUGGCGGCAGGUGGAGGAGGAUCAUCGUCGGCGGGACGGACUCCGACGUGGAAGGAGAGGGAGAACAACAAGAAGAGGGAGAGGAGAAGAAGAGCCAUCACGGCCAAGAUUUACUCUGGUCUCAGAGCUCAAGGUAACUACAAGCUCCCUAAGCACUGCGACAACAACGAAGUCCUUAAAGCUCUCUGUCUCGAAGCUGGUUGGAUCGUUGAAGACGACGGCACCACUUAUCGCAAGGUCAAAUCCUUUUUCUCAAUUCAAUUCAUCAUCGAUCUAAUGAAAAUAUUAGUAAUUUUAUUUCUUAAUCAAUUGAAUUAUUAGAGAGAUUCUGAGAUAAAACAGUAAAGUUUGAUUAUUAUUAUUUUUUUAAUAGUUUUUUUUUUUUUGAGUUUGAUUAUUCGGACAAAACUAUUGUACUUCUUGUCUGAAACCAAUUUCUUAUUCAGAUGAAUUAUUAGAGAGACUCUGAGAUAAAACAGUAAAGUUUGAUUAUUAUUUUUUCUGACCAAUUUUUUUUUUGUAAGUUUGAUUAUUCCGACAAAACUAUUUUACUUCUUGUCUGAAAACCAAUCAAAGUCAUUGACUUUGACUUUGAAACUGCAUCGUAUUGUGUAGUCUUUGACUGAUUCUUGAAUUGUUCAACAGGGUUUUAAGCCAACUCCGACGAACUUCAGCACGAACUCAUCAAUCCAACCGAGUCCACAAUCAUCUGCCUUCCCAAGCCCGGCACCUUCUUACCACGGCUCCCCUGUCUCAUCCUCCUUCCCAAGCCCAUCUCGUUACGACCAAAACCCUUCCUCGUACCUCCUCCUCCCUUUCCUCCACAACAUCGCUUCCUCCAUCCCAUCAAACCUCCCUCCUCUCAGAAUCUCCAACAGCGCUCCCGUAACUCCCCCCUUGUCCUCUCCCACCUCUCGCGGUUCGAAGCGGAAGCUCAUCACAGAACAGCUACCAAACGGCGGGUCUUUGCUAAGACACCCGCUUUUCGCUAUCUCUGCUCCGUCUAGUCCUACGCGCCGCGGCGGUCACCAGACGCCGCCGACGAUACCUGAAUGCGACGAGUCUGAGGAGGAUUCGGUAGAGGAUUCAGGACGGUGGAUUAGUUUUCAGUCCACGGCUCCUCCUUCACCGACGUUUAACCUCGUUCAGCAGACGUCUAUGGAGAUUGACAUGAAGAGACCAGAGUGGGGGAUGAAUGCGAGGGGGUCAGAGUUUGAGUUCGAGAAUGGUACUGUUAAGCCAUGGGAAGGCGAAAUGAUUCAUGAAGUUGGUGUAGAGGAUCUUGAGCUCACUCUCGGUGGCACUAAGACAAGAUGCUAAAGAACCUUGAUCAUAACAGAGCAUUGUACAGGAGAGCUCGUGUGGCCCAAAGCCUAAGGGUCGAACCUUUUAAUUACCGUUACAUUCUCUCAGUUUAUACUUCAAUGUUGUACUUCUAUGGUGAUAAUGUUAUUGGAGGUAUUAAUGUGUGUUUAGUCACAUGAUUAAGAAAUGUUUUUUGGAGAUA